rnacentral:lncRNA from 1 species
CAAAAAAAAAAAAAAAGACCUUUUUUUUUUUUUUUUUUUCACUAAAACGCUUCCUAUAACUUGGAUUAAAAUUCAAAAAUGGGAUUGCAGUCAUUGUUAAUUGCUCAACUAGUGGCAGUUUUUCCUUGCUGAGGGAACACUGAUGUUGUUUAAGACAGUUACAUGCCUAGCCCCAGGGAUGAAUCAUAAUUGUUCUAGGCCUUUCAUGUCUUUCCUUUCUUCUUGUCCAGAUACUUUUCCAACCAGCCUUUACUCGGAGGUGUUCAUGUGACCCUGUUUUGGCCAAUAAAAUGUAAUGGAAAAUCUGGGAAACACUUGGGAAAAAUCUUCCCUCUCUGCUUAAAGGAAAGUUCUUUUUACCUCUUUUUCUCUUGUUCAAGGUAUUAGUAUUAGUCAGUAGGGUCUGAAUCUGUGGCAGCAAUCUUGCAGACAUGAAAUGAAAAGUACAAACAUGAAAAACCAGCAUAUUAAAGAUGCCAGGUCAGAAAAAUAGAAAGAACCUGCUUCUGUGAGCCACUGAAUGGUGCCAUUAACCAUCUGCAUUUGAGCAUUUUGAGAAAAUAAACCUCUAUUUCUUAAAGUUCUGUAUCAGUCAGGGUUUCCCAGAGAGGCAGAACAAUAGGGAUAGAGAGAUACAUAGAGAGAGAUAUGAGAGGGAUAGAGAGAGACACAGAGAGAGAUAUGAGAGGGGAUUAAGGGAGUUGGCUCAUGUGAUUGUGGAGGCUGAGAAACCCCACCACAGGCCAUUCAUAACCUGGAGACCUUGGGAUGCUGGUGGUCUGGCUCAGUACAAGUCCAAAAGCCUUGGAACCAGGGAAACUGAUGGUGUAAUUCUCAGUCCAAGGCUGAAUUUUCAAGUCUGAGAACCUGGGGGUGGGAUGGGGGAGUGAUAGUUUUAAGUCCUGGAGUCCCAAGGUUAGAGGAUCUGGGGUCCUAAUGUCCAUGGGCAGUUGGAGAAGAGUGUAUCCCUGCUGCAGGGGAGAGAGAGAAGCCAAUUCUCCUUUCUUCUGUUUUUAUUCUACCCAGGCCUCCAGUGGAUUGGAGGUGCCUGCCCAUAUUGAGGGCAGAUCUUCUCUGCCUAGUCCACGCUAACUCACAUGCCAAUCUCCUCUGGAAACACCCUCACAGACACACCCCAAAAUAAUGCCUUACCAGUUCUCUAGAUAUUCCUUAAUCCAGUCAAGUUGAUGCCUAAAAUUAACCAUCACAGGCUUUAUGGCUCUAUUACCCAAGAAUUCUGUUACUUUCAGCUGAAAACAUUUCUAAUGGACAUAUUCCAAUUCUGUAUAGAUCAGAUCUCAGUUUCAUUUCCCAUUAUAUCCUUCUCUCUCUUGAUUUAGAAUUCUCUUUUUCUCCACUCUUCUGUGUAUGCUAAAAUACUGUCAAUCUCGUCUUUGAAGGUUUUGCUCAUCUUUAAAAAAUCUUAGUUGAUUAUGUUUUAUGUGUCAUUUAAUUAAGGAAUGAAUUUGCUUAUUUUUAUUUCAGUAGCUUUUGGGGUACAAGUGGUUUUUGGUUGCAUGGAUGAAUUGUAUAUUGGUGAAGUCUGAAAUUUUAGUGCACCUGUCACCAGAAUAGUGUGCAUUGUACCCAAUAUAUAGCUUUUUAUUCCUUCCCCUUCUGAGUCUCCAUAGUCCAUUAUAUCACUCUGUAUACCCUUGUGUAUCCAUAGCUUAGCUCCCACUUACAGUUGAGAACAUACAGAAUUUGAUUUUCUAUUCCGGAGUUACUUUACUUAGAAUAAUGGCCUCCAGCUCCAUCCAAGAUGCUGCAAAAGACAUUAUUUCAUCUUUUAUUUUUUAUGGCUGAGUAGUAUUCCAUGGUGCAUAUAUACCACAUUUUCUUUAUCCACUCAUUGGUCUAUGGGCACUUUGGUUGAUUCUGUAUCUUUGCAAUUGUGAACUGUGUUAACAAUAAAAAUAUAUAUACGAGUGUCUUUUAUGGUAGAUCUCCUUUUAGUUCUUUAAGACACCUCCAUACUGUUGUCUGUAGAGGUUGUACUAAUUUACAUUCUCACCAGCAGUGUAUAAAUGAGACAGGGUCUCACUCUGUCACCCAGGUUGGAGUGCAAUGGCAUGAUCAUGGCUCACUGUGGCCUUGACGUCCCAGGCUUAAGUAAUCCUUCCACCUCAGCUUCCCUGGUAGCUGGGACUACAGGCACAUGCCACCAUGCCUGAUUAAUUUUGUUUUCGUUUUUGUUUUUUUGUAGAGACAGGGGUCUCACUGUGUUGCCUAGGCUGGUCUUGAACUCUUACACUCAAGCAAUCCUCCCUCCUAAGCCUCCCAAAGUUCUCCAGUUAUAGGCGUGGGCCACUGUGCCUGGCCUUAU